rnacentral:rRNA from 1 species
CCUACGGGGGGCUGCAGUGGGGAAUAUUGGGCAAUGGGGGAAACCCUGACCCAGCAACGCCGCGUGAAGGAAGAAGGUUUUCGGAUUGUAAACUUCUGUCCUUGGUGAAGAGAAGAAGACGGUAGCCAAGGAGGAAGCCCCGGCUAACUACGUGCCAGCAGCCGCGGUAAUACGUAGGGGGCAAGCGUUGUCCGGAAUGAUUGGGCGUAAAGGGCGCGUAGGCGGCUUUAUAAGUCUGGAGUGAAAGUCCUCUUUUCAAGGGAGGAAUUGCUUUGGAAACUAUAGAGCUUGAGUGCAGGAGAGGUUAUCGGAAUUCCCGGUGUAGCGGUGAAAUGCGUAGAUAUCGGGAGGAACAUCGGUGGCGAAGGCGGGUAACUGGACUGCAACUGACGCUGAGGCGCGAAAGUGUGGGGAGCAAACAGGAUUAGAUACCCCGGUAGUC